UUCCGGUCACAAGGCGGAUCCACAAAACCUGGAAGUUUUGCGUUCCUCAUUCAACUGUGACAUUACGAAGGUUUACCGUUUGAAAUAAUGUCACAGAUAUACAUAUUUAAUAACUACCGUGUUUAGCUUUCAAAGAUAACAGGAUCAGUUCUUUCUGAACUGUAAAUAAAGUGCAAGACAGGUGAGGUACAGGUUCAGGUGAGUGAUGCCUGUGUGUUCUAGCACUGACUGUCCCCAUCUACAGUGUGUAGGCGAGAUCACCAAGGAAGAACUCAUCCACAAGUCACAUGGCCAGUGCCAAGACUGCAAAGUUGGAGGACCAAAUCUUUGGGCGUGUCUGGAGAAUGGCUGUGUGUAUGUGGGCUGUGGAGAAUCGCACACUGACCACAGCACCAUCCACUCACAGGAGACGGGCCACAACCUGACAGUGAACCUGACCACUCUGAGGGUGUGGUGUUAUGCCUGUGGGAAAGAGGUGUUCCUGGAGCAUCACCUGGGCCAUCACUGCCCUGUCCCCAGCACCAAGACCCUCACAUCACCUCUCACCAACAACACACAGGAGGGUAGCAGGGUGCUGGGCCGCUCCACCUCUCUGAGACUGCCCCCUACUGGUGGCUGUGAAGACCUGGGCAUGGAGACUGAGGAGGAGGAAGAGCUUCGCCCCAGAGGUCUGACGGGACUGAAGAACAUAGGAAACACCUGCUUUAUGAACGCAGCCCUGCAGGCCCUCUCUAACUGUCCUCCUCUAACCCAGUUCUUUGUGGAGUGUGGAGGUCUGGUGAGGACAGACAAGAAGCCUGCUCUGAGUAAGAGCUACCAGAAACUGGUGGCAGACCUCUGGCACAAGAACAGGCCAUCCUAUGUCGUCCCUACCAGUCUGUUCCAGGGGAUCAAGGCUGUUAACCCCAUGUUCAGAGGAUACUCACAACAGGACUCUCAGGAGUUCCUGCGCUGUCUGAUGGACCAGCUCCACGAGGAGCUGAAGGAGCCUCUGGCCGAGCCCCUCGACAACGACCAACACUCGCACGCCAUCGCCAUGGACGACGACGGCCCCGACGACGACAGCCCCAGCCAGUCGGACAACGACUUUCAGUCAUGCCAGUCGUGCGAGCGGGUGGACAGAGAGGGUCAGGGUGGGAGCGGGGACGGGCAGGCGGCGCCGCCGCCAAGGGAGGAGUCUAAAGAGGCGGAGAUGCUGAUCCCCGACGGGCCUGACUCCUCCCACUCCUUCGGCCAGACCAAUAGGGAGUGGCAGAAAGAGAAGAACCUGAUCAACGACCUCUACCGGGGGUCAGGGGCCGCGGGGUCAGCGGGAGACCUGGAUAAAGACGUGAAUACCGCUCCCGCGGUGGCCACGCCCAUCGUCAGCAGCCAGGGGACAAUCAAAGUCCAGAUACAGAGCCGCAUGGCUGAGCUGCAGGUCGUGUCCAGCAGCACCCGGACCCAGAGUCCAGUCCAUAUGGAGGGACACUGCCUCACCAAGAUGUCCUCCAGUCCCCCAAGACUAACUCUGUCUGGCCAGGAAUGUCCUCCAGCCAUAAGAAAGUGUCCUCGUUCUCCUCAACAAAGAGCCAGAAGAAGUACCGUAGUGUGAUAUCAGACGUGUUUGAUGGGACCAUUGUCAGCUCAGUACAGUGUCUGACCUGCGAUCGGGUGUCAGUGACCCUCGAGAACUUCCAGGACUUGUCCCUGCCCAUCCCAGGUAAGGAGGACCUGGCUAAACUCCACUCCUCCUCCCAUCAGACAUCUCUGAUCAAGGCCGGCUCCUGUGGAGAGGCCUACGCAGCCCAGGGAUGGGUGGCCUUCGUCAUGGAAUACAUCAAGAGCUGGUGGUGGGGUCCUGUGGUGACCUUACAGGACUGUUUGGCUGCCUUCUUCACCAGAGACGAGCUGAAAGGUGAUAACAUGUAUAGCUGUGAGAAAUGCAAGAAAUUACGGAACGGAGUGAAAUUCUGUAAAGUUCAGAGUGUACCAGAGAUCUUGUGUAUCCACCUGAAGCGGUUUAGACACGAGCUGAUGUUCUCCACUAAGAUCGGGACUCACGUCUCUUUCCCAUUGGAGGGCCUGGACCUGCAGCCCUUCCUGGCCAAGGACAGCUCCGCCCACACCACCUCCUACGACCUGCUGUCCGUCAUCUGUCACCAUGGCACCGCCAGCAGUGGCCACUACAUAGCCUACUGUAGGAAUGACCUGAACAACCUGUGGUAUGAGUUUGACGACCAGAGCGUCACCGAGGUGUCAGAAUCCUGCGUCCAGAACGCUGAGGCCUACGUUCUGUUCUACAAGAAGAGCAACGAAGAGGCGCUGAAGGAGAGGAGGAGGGUGACGGGUCUCCUCGGCGUGACGGAGCCCAGUCUGCUACAGUUCUACGUCUCCAGACAGUGGCUCAACAAGUUCAAGACCUUCGCUGAGCCUGGACCUAUCUCCAAUGACGACUUCCUCUGCUCACACGGAGGCGUGCCGCCUGCCAAGGCAGUGUUCAUCGAUGACCUGGUAGUGAUGCUGCCGCAGAACGCGUGGGACCACCUCUACAGCAGGUACGGAGGCGGGCCUGCUGUCAACCACCUGUACGUGUGUCACACUUGUCAGACCGAGAUUGAGAAGCUGGAGAAGAGGCGCAGGACAGAGCUGGACAUGUUUAUCCGGCUGAACAAGGCGUUCCAAGAGGAGGAGUCUCCAGUGAUCAUCUACUGCAUCAGCAUGCAGUGGUUCAGAGAGUGGGAGGGCUUCGUCAAGGGAAAGGACAAUGAUCCACCGGGACCAAUCGAUAACUCUAAGAUCGCGAUCAACAAGAAUGGCCAUCUAACACUCAGACAAGGAGCUGACUCGGGACAGAUCUCUGAGGAGACGUGGAACUUUCUCCACUCCAUCCACGGAGGAGGACCGCUGGUAACAGUCCGGCCCAACGCCUCUCACCCUGAACUAGAGGCCUCCUCGCAGUCUAAGGAGAAGAUAUAGGUGGAGACGUGCUACGUUUAAAUCUACCUACAUUACCAACCUCUUCACAGGAAACAACCUACCUACUGUACCAACCCCCUAACAGGAACUACCUAACUACCAACCCCCUAACAGGAACUACCAACCCCCUAACAGGAAACUACUUAACUACCAACCCCUUAACAGGAAACUACCAACCCCCUAACAGGAAACUACCAACCCCCUAACAGGAAACUACCUAACUACCAACCCCCUAACAGGAAACUACCUAACUACCAACCCCUAACAGGAACUACCAACCACCUAACAGGAAACUACCUACCUACCAACCCCUAACAGGAACUACCAACCCCCUAACAGGAACUACCAACCCCUAACAGGAACUACCAACCCCCUAACAGGAACUACCAACCCCCUAACAGGAAACUACCAACCCCCUAACAGGAACUACCAACCCCCUAACAGGAAACCCCCAACACCAGCCCUGAGUAAAACAACAACUAAAGCCUUUUAUUUUGCACUUUACUUUUUAUUUAAAAAGCAUUCGAGCAAAGGAUUUCCCUUCCUUGACCACCAUAAAAUGAACAGCCCUUCUUGACAACUGGGCAGAAGAAUAAACAUGUCUGAAAAUAACAUGAUGACAUGUUUCUACAUAAAUGUAUAAAUAUAUAAUUUCUAAUAGCACUGUAGAAUAAUACAUGGGAACUGUGUCUGGUAAUUUCCAGAACCAAGCAUUUAUUCAUUUUGUUUGCAGGUAAAAACUUCUUUUUUUUCCCCUGAAUGCAGCAGUUUUUAUAUUUUUUUAUUUUUUACUUCUCUCUCUUGAACCAAAAUUGAGACAAUGUCACUCUAUAUCAGGGAUGGGAAACUUUAAUGGGGUGGGGGCCACAAAGAAAUCGGAACUCAUUAUGAGGGGCCGUAGUGGUUCAUGGGUCUGCAUACCCACAUCCAUACCCACACAUGCAAUCAGAGCCGGCCCUAUCCUUUUGGGGGCCCUAAGUGAAAUUUUGAUGACCCCCCCCCCCUUGCGAGGAAAACAUUUUUGUGGCACCCUUCUUGACAGCGGAGAGAAAGAAUGUAUGUUUUAGUUUAUUUCCUGCAAUUCUACACAUUUUGCCUUGGGGCGAAGAGAAAAUACUGCAGUUUUAAAGCAAGUUUGCUGCAAUUCUACACAUUUUGCCAUGGGGCGGUGAGAACAUUUUUUUCAAUUUUAUAACAAAUUUCAUGCAAUUCUAAUUUUAAAAAAAUGCAAUGGGGCAGAGAGAACAUGUUUCAGUUUUACAGCUAAUUUCCUGCGAUUUCUACACAUUUUGCCAUAGGGUGGAGAUAAAUAUUUGUAGUUUUUAAAUAUGAUAUCUGAGUAAUUAACAAAAUCAAUGGAGGCCCCCCUGGUCAGUAAUUCCACCAUGAUUACUACAAGUUUAGAUAGCUGGCUGGACUAAUUUACCAAUCUAAACAUUUUUAGCUGAUAUGGGCUAAUUGAGUGACUGUCAGUGACGGACGGACAUGAAAAGGGAAAAACUGCUGAUGCACUAACUAACAUUUUGUAAUUCCACCUUGGUGUAAUCUACUAUUCUACCUAGCAACAGUAAAUUGAGACCCCGACUGAGUUCCCUGGAGAAGGGGGGGUUCUAUAUGAUGUCACUCUUAUGUCUUGUGUGUCGCAAAAGAAAAAAAGAAGAAUCACAAUGCAUCUUACUGUAGAUAUCAAAAUUGUUCUCUUUUUUUUAAUACCUGUUCUAAGAAAAUAACAUAUUGUCGAAGAAGUGAAUGGUUAUAAAAAAUAAAAUAAAAAGUUCAAGCUCUUACAUUUUUCCUUAAAGUGAAGAAGAGAAAUCUCCGUCCACACAUUUUAGAGACCGUCCUCUUGUUUGCAGACAAAAUGUAGCUGUUUUUAAAGCUAAUUUCCUACAAUGCUACAGAUUUUUGCCAUGCUGUGUUCUUGUGCUAUCUGAUCAAACAUUAUAACAGAAUCAAUGGGGACUCCAUACCAUGACAUUUUGGGAAUUUUUGAUUCUCCUGUUUUUUGUUGUUGUGGUUUUUGUUGGAGUGGCGGCAAGUAAAUGAAUAUAGGGGAAACACUGCUAAGGAUAUGUGUUUACACAGGCAGCCCUAAUUCUUAUCUUUUUACACUAAUUGGUCUUUUGACCAAUCAGAUCAGGUAUUUUGCCAAUAAUUGGUCAAAAGAUCAGAAUUGGGCUGCCUGUGUAAACUAAGUAGUCUCAGGAAGGGAUUUGUAUGUUUUUUUUUUUUUACUAUAGUCUGGUUAAGAUAAGUGGCAUGUUCACACAAUGUCUGAUGUGUAUUUGAAUGUACUAGUGAGUCCAGGGGUGUAUUCAUUAGGAUCUAAAAGGAAUGAAACGGGGAGGGGGACACACCUAUGUGAAUUUAUCCAAUAUAAACUGUUGUUUCCGUUGUAGAACCUGAUGUGUGACUAAUGAAUACACCCCUUGUGAACUACAGUCCCAGAACUUCCUUCCUCUACCCCCAUUGGCCAGACCAGCGGGUGGAUUUACUGUGUAUCCCAAAUGGUACCCUAUUCCCUAUAUAGUGCGACGCUUUUGACCAGGGUCCCAUGGGGCAUAGUGUUCCAUUUGGGAGGCAUCUAUAUGAUGUUAGACUUUUUUUAAUUAAUUUUUUUAUAAAAUAUUUGGCUGGCAGGCAUGCAUGCUUUUAGAGGGGACCCCACUCACUCAGCCAGGGUUGGGGUCAAUCCCAUUUCAAUUCAGGAAGUGAACUGAAAUUCCAAAUAAAAAAAAAUUCAAUGUGAGAAAAAUGUGGAAUUGAAAUGAAAUGGCAAUUGACCCCAACCCUGACGUACGAAUGAUUUGAAAAACUUGAUGGCCACAUGUCACAUUAAAUUACAUGUAAGCUGCCCACUCACUGCAUAAUAUGUACACAAUGAAUCACAAACUUCUGUGGCUAUCUUUGUCUUUGAAAUGUACAGAAUUACAUAACAAGCUAUCAAGUCCUAAUAUUCAUCAGUUUUGUCAGUGGAAGGAAGCAUUAACUUGUGUGUAAGAGCAUGGUGUUGCUUUUGGUAUGUGGUCACUGAAGACCGAAGAAUGCUGUAGGUAUAUGGAAUACUGCAUCCUGAUUUACUAAACGCAUCUGUUCUGAUUCGGAAUGGCUGAUAUGAUUCUGGUUCUAUUAAACACAUCUGUUCUGAUUCGGAAUGGCUGAUAUGAUUCUGGUUCUAUUAAACACAUCUGUUCUGAUUCGGAA